rnacentral:rRNA from 1 species
UACGAAGGGGGCUAGCGUUGCUCGGAAUGACUGGGCGUAAAGGGCGCGUAGGCGGCUUGUAUAGUCGGAUGUGAAAUUCCUGGGCUUAACCUGGGGGCUGCAUACGAGACGUAUGGGCUUGAGUGCGGAAGAGGGUCGUGGAAUUCCCAGUGUAGAGGUGAAAUUCGUAGAUAUUGGGAAGAACACCAGCGGCGAAGGCGGCAUCCUGGACUGGUACUGACGCUCAUGAGCGAAAGCGUGGGGAGCGAGUCCGG